UACGUAGGUGGCAAGCGUUGUCCGGAAUUAUUGGGCGUAAAGCGCGCGCAGGUGGGAUCUUAAGUCCAUUUUGAAAGUUCGGAGCUCAACUCCGUGAUGGGAUGGAAACUGGGAUUCUUGAGUAUCGGAGAGGAAAGCGGAAUUCCCCGUGUAGCGGUGAAAUGCGUAGAUAUGGGGAGGAACACCAGUGGCGAAGGCGGCUUUCUGGACGAUGUCUGACACUGAGGCGCGAAAGCCAGGGGAGCGAACG
rnacentral:rRNA from 1 species